rnacentral:tRNA from 1 species
UCAGAGGUAGAUAUGGGGUUUGAGCGCAAUGCUCGCUCAAGUACGUGUUUGCCAAGGGAUUUGCUCGUUGGAUUAAAGCCCUCUGUA